rnacentral:rRNA from 1 species
CACAGCCGCGGUAAUACAGAGGGUGCAAGCGUUAAUCGGAAUUACUGGGCGUAAAGCGCGCGUAGGUGGUUCGUUAAGUUGGAUGUGAAAUCCCCGGGCUCAACCUGGGAACUGCAUUCAAAACUGACGAGCUAGAGUAUGGUAGAGGGUGGUGGAAUUUCCUGUGUAGCGGUGAAAUGCGUUGAGAUCGGAAAGAACACCAACGGCGAAAGCACUCUGCUGGGCCGACACUGACACUGAGAGACGAAAGCUAGGGGAGCAAAUGGGAUUAGAGACCCGCGUAGUCCCUGUCUCUUAUACA